rnacentral:lncRNA from 1 species
GUGCCCAUAUAAUGGACAUUUUACAAAUAGCAUCUCAUUUAAUUAUCAAAAUUGUCUUUGGAGACAGGUAUGUGGUUCCCAUCUGUAAUGCCUACACCGAGUAAAUGAGGCAGGAGGAAGUGCGAACUGGACAUUUGAGCUAUAUGGGUUCUAAGGAUUCAGAGUGAGUCCCCGUUGUAAGAAAACCAAAACUCAGUAAAAAAUGGAAAGACCUAUGAGGGGUUCUCAUGGAGCCUGGAGUUCAUCAAUUCAACUGAUCUCUACGUGUACGCUAGAAUUGCAGGCAUGCUACAUGACCACUGAACGUCUAUGUGGGUAUCGGGAUCUAAAUUCUGGUGGUUGGACUGGCACAGCAAUUGCUUUGCCCACUGAUCUAUCGUCCCACACUUAAAAAAUCUGGAGAGAUAAUGUAGCACUUCUUUCAUAAAAUUCAAUUCUGU